rnacentral:rRNA from 1 species
AUACAUGCAGUCGAACGAACUUCCGUUAAUUGAUUAUGAGGUGCUUGCACUGAAUGAGAUUUUAACAUGAAGUGAGUGGCGGACGGGUGAGUAACACGUGGGUAACCUGCCCAGAAGCAGGGGAUAACACCUGGAAACAGAUGCUAAUACCGUAUAACAGAGAAAACCGCCUGGUUUUCUUUUAAAAGAUGGCUCUGCUAUCACUUCUGGAUGGACCCGCGGCGCAUUAGCUAGUUGGUGAGGUAACGGCUCACCAAGGCGAUGAUGCGUAGCCGACCUGAGAGGGUAAUCGGCCACAUUGGGACUGAGACACGGCCCAGACUCCUACGGGAGGCAGCAGUAGGGAAUCUUCCACAAUGGACGCAAGUCUGAUGGAGCAACGCCGCGUGAGUGAAGAAGGGUUUCGGCUCGUAAAGCUCUGUUGUUAAAGAAGAACGUGGGUGAGAGUAACUGUUCACCCAGUGACGGUAUUUAACCAGAAAGCCACGGCUAACUACGUGCCAGCAGCCGCGGUAAUACGUAGGUGGCAAGCGUUAUCCGGAUUUAUUGGGCGUAAAGCGAGCGCAGGCGGUCUUUUAAGUCUAAUGUGAAAGCCUUCGGCUCAACCGAAGAAGUGCAUUGGAAACUGGGAGACUUGAGUGCAGAAGAGGACAGUGGAACUCCAUGUGUAGCGGUGAAAUGCGUAGAUAUAUGGAAGAACACCAGUGGCGAAAGCGGCUGUCUGGUCUGUAACUGACGCUGAGGCUCGAAAGCAUGGGUAGCGAACAGGAUUAGAUACCCUGGUAGUCCAUGCCGUAAACGAUGAUUACUAAGUGUUGGAGGGU